UAAUACAAACAAGUAAAAUAAAAUCAAAUAGCUCCAUCUUCUUUCAUCACGGACCCAUUGCCGAUUAGGUGGUCUAUUUUCCCCUCGGGUUGCUUAAAGAAGUCUGCCACAUUGAAGUUGUCGUCAGAGACAAAAUUCGUUAUGGGGCGUUUACUCUUUCGAAAUGCUUGGUAAAGGUCAACCAUACGGCAAUUCUUUGACCAGUGCCCGUUUCCAC
rnacentral:lncRNA from 1 species